UGACAUGAUCAGCAGGGAGGAGCAACAGCAGUAGCUGAAAACUGCAUUGGUCAAGAUGACUUCUGAAGAAAUGGCAGCUUCCUUUCUUAUCCCUGUGACUCAGAAAAAAGUGGUGUCUGUCCAGGUGGCCCUAGAUGAAAAUAAUGAAAACUCUGACAUCUGUAUUCCAAAGGCACAUACUGUCAGGCAAGCUGGGCAGACCUCUUAUACCAUCUCACAACAGAACAAACUUAAAGAAGAAUCUUCUGGAAGCCACUUGCCUAAUGUUCUCUCCAUAGCAAGGGAGAAAAUGCUUAGUGAUGAGAACAGCAAUGAAAAGUGCUGGGAGAAAAGCAUGCCAGAUUCUGUGAAAAACCUUAACAUUAGCUGCAACAACAUUCUGCGAAACCAUCAGCGUGGCCUGCCUCAGAGCCACUAUUAUGAAACGUGCAACUCUGUCACGGAGGAAGGCCUGUGUUUGGAAACUGGAAUUCCUUCUCCACUGGAAAGAAAGGUGUUCCCUGGAAUUAAACUGGAAAUAGACACACCUCCCAUGAGCAUUAGUCCUUCAGGAAGUCACUCUGAGACCAUCGAGACCCACAGAGUGCAGCCUGACAGCAACAUGGCAGUAUUUAAUUUUCAUUAUGAAGUUGACAGAAGAAUGUCAGAGGCUUUCCAUACCCUAUCAGAAAACUUAAUUUUGGACGAUUGUGGAAAUUGCAUCCCACUUCCUACGGGGGAGCAAAAGCAAGAUUACACAGCAUAUACUUGUAAACUGGUAAACUUGGCAAAAAACUGUGAUAACAGGAAUGGGCAGCUGCAGUGUGAUCAUUGGGACACCUUGAAUCAUAAAUACCUUUGCUUUGAGGGCUCUGGCCAGAAGGAUGACGUGAUAUGCUCUAGUGAUAGCAUUUGCAGGGGGGAUUUCACUGAAAGUGUACCUACUAAGACUUUUUUGAGCCAUUUUGAGGAUUUCCCUGAUAAUUGUGAAGAUACUGAAGAAGACUUUUUUAAAAGCAAAAAGGAACGGUCCACUUUGUUAGUCAGGAGAUUUUGCAAAAAUGACAGGGAAGUAAAGAAAUCUGUGUAUACGGGGACGAGAGCAAUCAUGAGAACCCUGCCUUCUGGCCACAUUGGACUGGUUGCUUGGAAUUACAUUGAUCAGAAAAGAAAUGGCCUCUCACUGCCUUGUGGGAAAGUCAUGAAACCUCUGCCCACAGUGGAGAUAAGGCACAGUGGGGGCCGAUGUCUGUCAGAAGCCCUGUGGUCUCCGAUCUACAAUGCAGUGAGAAGAGGAGAAGAAACAGAAAAUACAGUUGGAUCUCUUCUCCAUUUCUUACCAAAGCUUCCAGCCUCUGAAACAGUCCAUGGAGGGAUUAGCAUUGGUCUGUGCUUAAAGCAAUGUGUCCAAGACACCGUGUGUGAGUACCGUGCCACCCUCCAAAGGACUUCCAUAGCUCAGUACAUCACCGGUUCUCUCCUGGAGGCAACCACAUCUUUAGGAGCAAGAAGUGGCCUUCUCAAUACUUUUGGAGGAGCCACUGGACGAAUGAUGCUGAAAGAACGCCAACCAGGUACCUCUAUGGCCAAUUCCAACGCCUUCCCUUCAAGUUCAGCUGGAAUCAGCAAGGAACUGAUCGAUCUGCAACCCCUCAUCCAGUUCCCAGAGGAAGUCGCCAGCAUCCUGACAGAGCAGGAGCAGAAUAUUUACCGAAAGGUCCUGCCAGUGGACUACCUUUGCUUCCUAACCCGGGACUUGGGAACACCAGAAUGCCAGAGGUCCCUGCCGUGCCUCAAAGCGUCCAUCUCGGCGUCAAUUCUCACCUCUCAGAAUGGAGAGCACAAUGCCCUCGAGGACCUUGUGAUGCGAUUCAAUGAGGUGAGCUCCUGGGUAACAUGGCUGAUCCUCACAGCAGGCUCCAUGGAGGAAAAGCGGGAAGUCUUCUCAUAUUUGGUGCAUGUGGCCAAGUGCUGCUGGAACAUGGGCAACUACAAUGCUGUCAUGGAGUUCUUGGCUGGCCUCAGGUCAAGAAAAGUUUUAAAGAUGUGGCAAUUCAUGGACCAGUCUGACAUCGAGACCAUGAGGAGCCUGAAGGAUGCCAUGGCUCAGCACGAGUCCUCCUCCGAGUACAGAAAGGUGGUGACCCGCGCGCUGCACAUCCCUGGCUGCAAGGUGGUUCCGUUCUGUGGGGUGUUUCUGAAGGAGCUCUGUGAAGUACUUGAUGGAGCCUCUGGCCUCAUGAAGCUUUGCCCGCGGUACAAUUCCCAAGAGGAGACUUUAGAGUUCGUAGCAGAUUACAGUGGACAAGAUAAUUUCUUGCAACGAGUGGGACAAAAUGGCUUAAAGAAUUCGGAGAAGGAGUCCACCGUCAACAGUAUCUUUCAGAUCAUCAGAAGCUGCAGUCGAAGUCUGGAGACAGAGGAGGAGGACAGUGCCAGUGAAGGGGACAGCUCUAGGAAAAACUCCCUGAAGGAGAAAACCCGAUGGCAGUUUAUAAUUGGAGAUUUGCUGGACUCAGAAAAUGACAUCUUUGAGCAAGCCAAAGAAUGUGAUCAUCAUGGAUCAGAGGAGUCACAGAAGGCCUUUGCCCAUGGGACAGAGCUCAUCCCCUGGUAUGUGCUGUCCAUCCAAGCUGAUGUGCAUCAGUUCCUGCUUCAGGGGGCCACGGUCAUCCACUAUGACCAGGACACACACCUCUCUGCCCGAUGCUUCCUCCAGCUUCAGCCUGACAAUAGCACUUUGACCUGGACAAAGCCCACCACCGCCUCCCCAGCCAGCGCUAAGGCAAAACUCAGUGCGCUCAGUAACACCGUCGAGCCCGGCAAAUUCCCGCUACUGGGCAAUGCUGUAUUGAGCGGCCUGGUGGAGGGGGUCUUAGAUCUGUUUUCAGCAAAGGCGGUGUACAUGGGACACCCUAGCAUUGAUAUACACACUGUGUGUGUUCAGAACAAACUGGGUAGCAUGCUUCUGUCAGAGACUGGUGUGACACUUCUCUAUGGGCUUCAAACCACGGACAAUAGACUAUUGCACUUUGUGGCACCAAAGCACACAGCUAAAAUGCUCUUCAGUGGACUAUUGGAACUCACUAGAGCCGUGAGAAAGAUGAGGAGGUUCCCCGACCAAAGACAGCAGUGGCUGCGGAAACAGUAUGUGAGCCUCUAUCAGGAGGAUGGCCGGUAUGAAGGCCCAACCUUGGCUCAUGCUGUGGAGUUGUUUGGUGGCAGACGAUGGAGUACUCGAAACCCCAGCCCUGGGACAUCAGCAAAGAAUGCUGAGAAACCCAAUGUGCAGCGAAAUAACACCCUGGGCCUAAGCACCGCCAAGAAAAAGAAGAAAACCCUCAUGAGGGGUGAGAGUGGAGAGGCAACUGACGAUGAGAUGGCAACUCGAAAGGUCAAAAUGUACAAAGAGUGUCGAGGCCGGAGUGGUUCUGAUCCUCAAGAUACAAAUGAACAAGAAGAAUCAGAGGCGAAUGCCAUCGCUAGCCUUCCCAAUCCUCUCCCUUCCAGAAGAGCCCACUCUUUGACUACAGCUGGGUCCCCCAACUUGGCUGCCGGGACGUCAUCUCCCAUCAGGCCAGUCUCCUCCCCUGUGCUGUCUUCUUCAAACAAGAGUCCGUCCAGUGCCUGGAGCAGUAGCAGCUGGCACGGGCGGAUCAAAGGAGGAAUGAAGGGGUUCCAGAGCUUCAUGGUUUCAGACAGUAACAUGAGUUUUGUUGAAUUUGUUGAGCUGUUCAAAUCAUUCAGCGUAAGGAGCCGCAAGGACCUGAAGGAUCUCUUUGAUGUCUACUGCGUGCCCUGCAACCGAUCCGGCUCUGAGUCGGCCCCACUCUACACCAACCUGACAAUUGAGGAGAACACCAGUGACCUUCAGCCUGACCUAGAUUUGUUGACCAGAAACGUCUCAGACUUGGGGUUGUUCAUUAAGAGCAAACAGCAGCUUUCAGACAACCAGAGGCAGAUAUCUGAUGCCAUCGCUGCUGCAAGCAUUGUGACAAAUGGCACUGGGAUCGAGAGCACAUCCCUGGGCAUAUUUGGGAUUGGCAUUCUCCAGCUCAACGACUUCCUGGUGAAUUGCCAAGGGGAACACUGCACUUACGAUGAGAUCCUCAGCAUCAUCCAGAAGUUUGAGCCUAGUAUCAACAUGUGUCAUCAGGGCCUAAUGUCAUUUGAAGGAUUUGCAAGGUUUCUGAUGGAUAAAGAUAAUUUUGCCUCGAAAAAUGAUGAGUCACAGGAGAACUUAAAAGAAUUGCAGCUACCCCUCUCCUACUAUUACAUUGAGUCUUCACACAAUACCUACCUCACGGGCCAUCAGCUCAAAGGAGAAUCCUCAGUAGAACUCUACAGCCAGGUCCUCUUGCAAGGCUGUAGGAGCAUAGAGCUGGACUGCUGGGAUGGAGAUGAUGGGAUGCCCAUUAUUUAUCAUGGACAUACACUGACAACCAAGAUUCCUUUCAAGGAUGUGGUUGAGGCCAUUGAUCGCAGCGCCUUCAUCAACUCUGACCUGCCAAUCAUCAUAUCCAUUGAGAACCACUGUUCAUUGCCUCAGCAACGAAAAAUGGCAGAAAUUUUUAAGACUGUGUUUGGAGAAAAGCUGGUGGCUAGAUUCUUAUUUGAGACUGAUUUCUCAGAUGAUCCAAUGCUUCCCUCACCCGACCAACUUAGGAGGAAAGUACUUCUUAAAAACAAGAAGCUAAAGGCCCAUCAGACGCCCGUGGACAUCUUAAAGCAAAAGGCUCAUCAGUUAGCAUCCAUGCAAGCACAGGCUUAUAAUGGUGGGAAUGCCAAUCCCCCACCUGCCAAUAAUGAGGAAGAGGAAGAUGAAGAGGAUGAAUAUGAUUAUGACUAUGAAUCCCUUUCUGAUGACAACAUUCUGGAAGACAGACCUGAAAAUAAAUCAUGUACUGACAAGCUUCAGUUUGAGUACAAUGAAGAAAUUCCCAAGCGGAUAAAGAAGGCAGAUAACUCUGCUUACAACAAAGGAAAGGUUUAUGACAUGGAACUGGGAGAAGAAUUUUAUCUUCCUCAGAAUAAAAAAGAAAGCAGACAGAUUGCACCAGAGCUUUCUGACCUUGUCAUCUAUUGCCAAGCAGUAAAAUUUCCAGGCCUGUCAACUCUAAAUGCAUCUGGCUCUAGCAGAGGAAAAGAAAGGAAAAGCAGGAAGUCCAUUUUUGGCAACAAUCCGGGCAGAAUGAGCCCAGGGGAGACAGCAACAUUUAACAAAACAUCUGGAAAAAGUUCCUAUGAAGGAAUUCGACAGACCUGGGAGGAAUCUUCUUCCCCUCUGAACCCAACCACAUCCCUCAGCGCUAUCAUUAGAACUCCCAAAUGCUAUCAUAUCUCAUCGCUGAAUGAAAAUGCCGCCAAACGUCUGUGUCGCAGGUAUUCUCAGAAACUGAUCCAGCACACCGCCUGUCAACUGCUGAGGACCUACCCGGCCGCCACCCGCAUCGACUCGUCCAACCCCAAUCCCCUCCUCUUCUGGCUCCAUGGGAUCCAGCUCGUGGCACUUAACUACCAGACAGAUGAUCUUCCUUUACAUUUAAAUGCCGCCAUGUUUGAGGCAAAUGGUGGCUGUGGUUAUGUAUUGAAACCCCCAGUUCUGUGGGACAAGAACUGCCCCAUGUAUCAGAAGUUUUCUCCACUGGAAAGAGAUCUAGACAACAUGGAGCCUGCCAUCUAUUCUUUGACUAUUGUCUCUGGCCAAAAUGUGUGCCCUAGUAACAGCACAGGAAGCCCGUGCAUAGAAGUGGACGUCCUGGGCAUGCCCCUGGAUAGCUGUCAUUUCCGUACGAAGCCCAUCCAUCGAAACACUCUGAACCCCAUGUGGAAUGAACAGUUUCUGUUCCGGGUUCACUUUGAAGAUCUUGUAUUUCUUCGUUUUGCAGUUGUGGAAAAUAACAGUUCAGCGGUAACUGCUCAGAGGAUCAUUCCACUCAAGGCUUUAAAACGAGGAUAUCGACAUCUUCAGCUGCGAAACCUCCACAAUGAAGUCUUGGAAAUCUCUAGUUUGUUUAUAAACAGCAGAAGAAUGGAAGAAAAUUCCUCUGGCAGUACCUUGCCAGCCUCUUUGAUGUUUAAUACAGAAGAGAGAAAAUGUUCACAGACUCACAGAGUCACAGUGCAUGGGGUCCCAGGUCCAGAGCCCUUUGCUGUCUUUACUAUAAAUGGAGGCACCAAAGCCAAGCAGCUUCUCCAACAGGCAAAUUCUGACAACUGAACAAGACACCAAACCUAUCAUCACAGACUAUUUUCUGAUGGAAGAAAAAUAUUUUAUAUCUAAAGAAAAGAAUGAAUGCAGGAAACAACCGUUCCAGAGAGCCAUUGGUCCAGAGGAAGAGAUCAUGCAAAUUUUAAGCAGCUGGUUUCCAGAAGAAGGCUACGUGGGCAGGAUUGUCUUAAAAACCCAGCAGGAAACCAUAGAAGAGAAAAACAUUAUUCAAGAUGACAAAGAGGUGAUCUUGAGCUCAGAGGAGGAGAGUUUCUUUGUCCAAGUGCAUGAUGUUUCUCCAGAGCAACCUCGAACAGUAAUCAAAGCACCCCGUGUCAGCACUGCACAGGAUGUCAUUCAGCAGACAUUAUGCAAAGCCAAAUAUUCCUACAGCAUCCUGAGCAACCCCAACCCAGGGGACUAUGUGCUUUUGGAAGAGGUGGUCAAAGACAUGCCCAACAAGAAGUCUUCUACCCCAAAGUCUUCACAGCGAGUCCUUUUGGAUCAGGAGUGUGUGUUUCAAGCCCAAAGCAAGUGGAAAGGUGCAGGGAAAUUCAUCCUUAAGCUAAAGGAGCAGGUACAGGCAUCCAGAGAAGACAAAAGAAAGGGCAUCUCUUUUGCAAGUGAACUUAAGAAGCUCACCAAGUCAACUAAGCAGCCCCGAGGACUCCUAUCACCUCCUCAGCUCACAGUCUCAGAAAAUGUCCAAAACAAGGAGGAGAAACCUGUGGGUGGCUUGUUCUCCAGUGAUACCAUGGAUUAUCGACAGUGAUGGAGGGCAGCGUGUUUUACCCAGGUGAAGAUCUCUCAGCAAGAAGUCAAAGCCAAGAAUGAACAUGGUGGAAGAAAUAUAAUUUAUUUUCAUUAAACUUAAAACUGGAAAUUGAUGAUUUAUGAACUGCAGCCUUCUUCACACAUGAUGUGAGGUCCAUGAUGAGGACAAGAUGGCACGGGGCU